GACGAACGCUGGCGGCGUGCUUAACACAUGCAAGUCGAACGGAAAGGCCCUGCUUUUGUGGGGUGCUCGAGUGGCGAACGGGUGAGUAACACGUGAGUAACCUGCCCUUGACUUUGGGAUAACUUCAGGAAGCUGGGGCUAAUACCGGAUAGGAGCUCCUGCUGCAUGGUGGGGGUUGGAAAGUUUCGGCGGUUGGGGAUGGACUCGCGGCUUAUCAGCUUGUUGGUGGGGUAGUGGCUUACCAAGGCUUUGACGGGUAGCCGGCCUGAGAGGGUGACCGGCCAAAUGGGGACUGGAAUCCGGCCAAGCCUCCUACGGGGGGCGGAGGGGGGGAAUAUUGCACAAGGGGGGGAAGCCGGAUGCAGCAACCCCGGGGGCGGGAGGGGGGCCUUGGGGUUGUAACCCGCUUUCGCCUGUGACGAAGGGGGAGUGGCGGUAAUGGGAAAAGAAGCCCCGGCUAACUACG
rnacentral:rRNA from 1 species